CCGAGCCGCCGCCUGGCGCGGGCAAGGGUGCUCGCGACGCGACGAAUCGUCCAUGCCGGCCCCUCACCGAUCUGUGCCGGCUUUUGCAUCGCCAUGCCGCCGUCUUCAUCGACCUCUCACUGUCUCAUUGCGUACUGUUAUGGGCGGCCGACGAACAAACCCACCUACUGUCAUAUCCGUCUCAAGAUUGAACGCACCUCACCCAUCCUUAGUUUCACAGGUCAUCCCCCAAUUUGUUGUGCCACCAUUCCGCUAUAUCCCCCGUCAAGAAAGACCUUAUGUGCUACUGUGUUUUUUCAAUCUCUUAUCUAACAUUGUCAUGGGAGGCCACAGUGAUGUUGUAUGUACAUUAAAUGACCUAAUUUGCCUCACGUUUUUGUGAAGGACAACAGAUUUUGCUAUCGCUAUGUGGUUGGCUUCCAGUAUGGUUCUGCUGUGCGCUCUUCAAUAUUGUUCAUCAUGAAGAUGAGCACUAUCUUGAUAUGAUCAGGAAUCAUGCUUCGAGAUGUCUUCCGGAGAUGAGGAAAGACGGUGUGCGACGGCUCGCACGAGGCGUGUACCGCGUGCAUCUGAAUGUGCAGACACGAGGCGGUCGAGGGCUCAACAAGACUAAUGGGAGGAUCAUCAAAACAACAAUGUAACCAAAUUGGUUGCUUCAAAACUUUGUUCGGUAUCAUUUUUUCACAAAUGAAGAAAUUGGAGUAAUUACGGCCUUGCCGCUCUUCAUGUUGUGAGAGAACCUAAUCAAUAGCAUGCUGACAUGCAUCAGGAAGCCAACGGACAGCCAGAUCAGGAAGGCGUGGAGCUUGAGCUGCAGCGAUGAUGACAACUGGGGCGUCAGCUGCAAAAACAACAGCUCAAGUGUUCAACCAAGUGUAAGUUUGCAGUAAGUCAAUAGUUACAGUUCUACAAUGACACAGUCAGACUUGCAUCGAAAGUUAGAUAGGAACAUGGAAAGAAUCUCUGAAACUUAUUUACAGGAGAGGGAAAACUUCACACCUAUUUGAUCUUCAGUGGUUGAACGCUCUUGUAGCUUUGGUUGAGAUCCUAAAGCUAUAUGAAGCACCAUGGAUUGAGUUUGCAAGCAAAAGGAUCACACAACCUGACAGUACUGGUAGCAGUCUUUUUCUUCCAAACUGUAGCAUUGAUGCCUAUCAAUUUGCAGGUAAGUUGCACGUGUGUGACCGAGAGGUCAACCAACAAGUUGUUGAUCUCUUAUUCUUGGAAACUUGAUCCUUGUAUAACUGUCUAUUAGUUAAUUUUGAUCAGGACCCAAAUUCUUGAUUGAACUUUUGGUCUGUUUAAAAUACCAAUAUACAAUAUUCAGGUCCAAAGGUAAGUAGCAACCUAUUUGAGCAACUUGGAAACACAUCCGAAUCUGGAGUAGUAGAAAUUCCUAAGUGUAUUGGGACAUUGACAUGCAGGUACUGAGUUGUGUGCUGUUUUUCAACUCAAUGCUGCUCCUAAUGGUUUUGUGACUGUUGAAAGGCAGUAUACACCUCAUAGCCAGCUUUAGCAGUUCUGUUGGGCUAACAAAGGAAAGAGCAGCGCUACAUAAUGAUACAAAGAGGACACUAAAGGAGGUUUUGCAAGUGCUUUCGAUUUAAUUAUGCAUCUUCUUGAAUCCAAGUGCUAGAACAUUUGUCUUUACCUGGAGGUAUGGUUUGCUUCCAGCAGCAGUUUUUUAAUGCAUUGUUCAAGUGUCAUGAACCUUGAACUAAAUAUUUUAUUGAUUAUACUGUCAUCUAUUUUGAGCUGUGAUCAUGCCUUCUACUUCUAUUUUACCUCCUAUAUUUUCAUCAUUGAGGUGUACUGAGUAUUAAUGAAGAAUCUGUCUUCGGCUGAAAGUCAUAAACUAUCCUUUUGUUGUUACUUAUUUAUCGGUGUUUUUGUCUCCACGAAUGAUAUUAUCAUGUCUUUGCAAUUGUAGCCUUGAUGCACUCUAUCGAUCUCAGUGGAUGAGCAUACACAUGUUUCCAAGUGUCCAUUCUAUGAGAUUUCAUUGUUUGUCAUCUACCCUGGGGGUGGACCGUAGGCAUCAUUGUGUUCCGGAUCAGAUAUGUGAAUGAAUUAUGAUUUUUUAUUUGUAAGAUGGAUAUUUGUGCUUAAGUACUAAUCAUAUAGAUAUAUUCUUGCCUUCUGUACAUGGAAAGGAAACUAGAACUUUAAGGUUCCU